rnacentral:rRNA from 1 species
AUUGAACGCUGGCGGCAGGCCUAACACAUGCAAGUCGAACGGUAACAGGAAGAAGCUUGCUUCUUUGCUGACGAGUGGCGGACGGGUGAGUAAUGUCUGGGAAACUGCCUGAUGGAGGGGGAUAACUACUGGAAACGGUAGCUAAUACCGCAUAACGUCGCAAGACCAAAGAGGGGGACCUUCGGGCCUCUUGCCAUCGGAUGUGCCCAGAUGGGAUUAGCUUGUUGGUGGGGUAACGGCUCACCAAGGCGACGAUCCCUAGCUGGUCUGAGAGGAUGACCAGCCACACUGGAACUGAGACACGGUCCAGACUCCUACGGGAGGCAGCAGUGGGGAAUAUUGCACAAUGGGCGCAAGCCUGAUGCAGCCAUGCCGCGUGUAUGAAGAAGGCCUUCGGGUUGUAAAGUACUUUCAGCGGGGAGGAAGGGAGUAAAGUUAAUACCUUUGCUCAUUGACGUUACCCGCAGAAGAAGCACCGGCUAACUCCGUGCCAGCAGCCGCCGCUG